GACGAACGCUGGCGGCGUGCUUAACACAUGCAAGUCGAACGGAAAGGCCCUGCUUUUGUGGGGUGCUCGAGUGGCGAACGGGUGAGUAACACGUGAGUAACCUGCCCUUGACUUUGGGAUAACUUCAGGAAACUGGGGCUAAUACCGGAUAGGAGCUCCUGCUGCAUGGUGGGGGUUGGAAAGUUUCGGCGGUUGGGGAUGGACUCGCGGCUUAUCAGCUUGUUGGUGGGGUAGUGGCUUACCAAGGCUUUGACGGGUAGCCGGCCUGAGAGGGUGACCGGCCACAUUGGGACUGAGAUACGGCCCAGACUCCUACGGGAGGGAGCAGUGGGGAAUAUUGCACAAUGGGCGGAAGGCUGAUGCAGCAACGCCGCGUGCGGGAUGACCGCCUUCGGGUUGUAAACCGCUUUCGCCUGUGACGAAGCGUGAGUGACGGUAAUGGGUAAAGAAGCAACGGCUAACUACGUG
rnacentral:rRNA from 1 species